rnacentral:misc_RNA from 1 species
GUGAAUCAUCAAAUAUUUGAACGCAAAUUGCACUCUCCUCGGAGAGUAUGCGUGUUUGAGGGUCAGCCUAUAAAAAAUCGAAAUCGUUGCUGCUUCGCGUUGACGUUCGACGGAAAUUGGGAAAUCUUAAAUCACUUUGGUUUUAAGCGACUUAAAAUUUUCUUUUUGGUUCCAUGAACGUUUCUAAGAUCUAUUUCUUUACAAGUUUAAGGUAUUGAUUUUUACUAGUCGUGACCAUCAUAUCGGAUAGG